UAUGUGAUCGUCUCUAGCAUAUCAAUAAGCGGAGGAAAAGAAACUAACAAGGAUUCCCCUAGUAACGGCGAGUGAAGCGGGAAGAGCUCAAAUUUGAAAUCUUAAAGGGUUUCCCUUUACGAAUUGUAGUUUAAAGAAGUGUUUUCUGUUGAGGUUUUGGUAAAAGUUCUUUGGAAUAGGACAUCCAUAGAGGGUGAGAAUCCCGUAUUUGACCUUUACUUUCAACUUUGUGAUACACUUUCAAAGAGUCGGAUUGUUUGGGAGUGCAGUCCAAAAUGGGUGGUAAAUUUCAUCUAAAGCUAAAUAUUGGCGAGAGACCGAUAGCGAACAAGUACCGUGAGGGAAAGAUGAAAAGAACUUUGAAAAGAGAGUUAAACAGUACGUGAAAUUGUCAAAAGGGAAGCGUUUGACACCAGUGUUGUUUUUCUGAAAAUCAAUUAAAGAACUGUUUAUGCUAAGUUGUUUAGACUUUAUCAGCUAUCUGUUUAGUUUUGAGCCUUUUCUUUAAUGCACUUUUCAGUUAACAAGUCAACAUCAAUUUCUUUUGCUGUAAAAAAGCUUGAGGAAGGUGGCUUGAGAUUCGUCUUAAGUGUUUAUAGCCUCUUGCCUAUGCAGUCGGAGAGAUUGAGGUCUGCAGCGUAGAUCCUUCGGGGCUAAAUGCAUUUGUGCUAAGUUAUAGCAUUUUAUAGACAACUUGUUGACUAUGAUUUGUCUUGUAGCUUACUCGCUUAUGUGAUCGUCUCUCGCAUAUCAAUAAGCGGAGGAAAAGUACCUACGCUUAGGAUGUUGAAGUCAUCGUAUCGCGC
rnacentral:rRNA from 1 species